GUGCCUCGUGCUCCAUACUGGACUCGCGAAUAUCAGUGCAACGGUCGACAGUAUGAGACAAGGAAAGGAUGCCCCAUGGGCCUAACAUCUGAAAGCCCCUGCCCUAAUGGAGGUUAUAGGACAUCGUGCAAUGCUGGCGCUGCAAAUGGUUACGGAAGAAAGCCUUGCGGCUGCCAAGAUGGCACGUAUCGGAGGAAAGACAAUGUAUGCGUGCUGCUUCAAGACUGCUAUAAAGUCUAGGAUUUCGGAAAGAAGGGCUGCCGCUGUAAACACACAAUUUGUCCAUACGCACAAGCUUCUUAACAACUUACCGCUGAAAUAAAUGUAGAAGCUCAAGAAA